rnacentral:rRNA from 1 species
GAUGAACGCUGGCGGCGUGCCUAAUACAUGCAAGUCGAGCGAACAGACGAGGAGCUUGCUCCUCUGACGUUAGCGGCGGACGGGUGAGUAACACGUGGAUAACCUACCUAUAAGACUGGGAUAACUUCGGGAAACCGGAGCUAAUACCGGAUAAUAUAUUGAACCGCAUGGUUCAAUAGUGAAAGACGGUUUUGCUGUCACUUAUAGAUGGAUCCGCGCCGCAUUAGCUAGUUGGUAAGGUAACGGCUUACCAAGGCAACGAUGCGUAGCCGACCUGAGAGGGGGAUCGGCCACACUGGAACUGAGACACGGUCCAGACUCCUACGGGAGGCAGCAGUAGGGAAUCUUCCGCAAUGGGCGAAAGCCUGACGGAGCAACGCCGCGUGAGUGAUGAAGGUCUUCGGAUCGUAAAACUCUGUUAUUAGGGAAGAACAAAUGUGUAAGUAACUAUGCACGUCUUGACGGUAACUAAUCAGAAAGCCACGGCUAACUACGUG